rnacentral:rRNA from 1 species
AUUGAACGCUGGCGGCAUGCUUUACACAUGCAAGUCGAACGGUAACAGGGUGCUUGCACCGCUGACGAGUGGCGAACGGGUGAGUAAUGCGUCGGAACGUGCCGAGUAGUGGGGGAUAACGCAGCGAAAGUUGUGCUAAUACCGCAUACGUACUGAGGUAGAAAGUGGGGGACCUUCGGGCCUCACGCUAUUCGAGCGGCCGACGUCUGAUUAGCUAGUAGGUGAGGUAAAGGCUCACCUAGGCGACGAUCAGUAGCGGGUCUGAGAGGAUGAUCCGCCACACUGGGACUGAGACACGGCCCAGACUCCUACGGGAGGCAGCAGUGGGGAAUUUUGGACAAUGGGCGAAAGCCUGAUCCAGCCAUGCCGCGUGCAGGAUGAAGGCCCUCGGGUUGUAAACUGCUUUUGUACAGAACGAAAAGGCUCUGGUUAAUACCUGGGGCUCAUGACGGUACUGUAAGAAUAAGCACCGGCUAACUACGUGCCAGCAGCCGCAGUAA